rnacentral:rRNA from 1 species
GGCGAGCGAAGCGGGAAGAGCCCAAACCAGUUUCGGCUGGGGUUCGGACACUCACCAGGUAAGGGAAGGUUAGUCGAAUGGCAUGGGAAGGCCAGCCACAGACGGUUAGAGCCCAGUAGACGAAAACCCGAACUUAUAGAGUGUAUCCAGAGUACCACGAAGCACGUGGAAUUUCGUGGGAAAGAGCGGGGACCACCCCGUAAGGCUAAAUACUCCUUAGCGACCGAUAGAGAACAAGUACCGUGAGGGAAAGGUGAAAAGCACCUCGGAAGAGGAGUGAAAGAGAACCUGAAACCGCAUGCUUACAAUCAGUCACAGCUCCAUAAGAGAGUAGUGGCGUACUUUUUGUAGAACGGACCGGCGAGUUACGUUAACAAGCGAGGUUAAGGAAACGGAGCCAAAGCGAAAGCGAGUCUGAAUAGGGCGAAAGUUUGUUGACGUAGACCCGAAACCAGGUGAUCUACCCAUGAGCAGGUUGAAGCGUUGGUAAAACAACGUGGAGGACCGAACCAGGGAUCGUUGAAAAGAUCUUGGAUGACUUGUGGGUAGGGGUGAAAUUCCAAUCGAACCUGGAGAUAGCUGGUUCUCCUCGAAAUAGCUUUAGGGCUAGCCUUAUUCUUAGUUUAACGAAGGUAGAGCACUGAAUGGGUACGGGGGCUUCACCGCCUACCAAACCUUAUCAAACUCCGAAUGUCGUUAAGCAUGAAUAGGAGUCAGACCAUGGGGGAUAAGCUUCAUGGUCAAAAGGGAAAGAGCCCAGACCGCCGUCUAAGGUCCCAAAAUCAUUGUUAAGUGGAAAAGGAUGUGAAAUCGCUUAGACAACCAGGAUGUUGGCUUAGAAGCAGCCACCAUUAAAAGAGUGCGUAAUAGCUCACUGGUCCAGGGGUUUUGCGCCGAAAAUGUAACGGGGCUCAAACAAUGUACCGAAGACGCGGAAUUACGAAUGUAAUUGGUAGAGGAGCGUUCUCAUUGGGGAGAAGCGAUACCGAGAGGAGUCGUGGACUAAUGAGAAGAGAGAAUGCCGGUAUAAGUACACGAUAAGGCAGGUGAGAAUCCUGCCCGCCGGAAGUCUAAGGGUUCCUGGGGAAGGCUCGUCCACCCAGGGUAAGUCGGGGCCUAAGGCAAGGCCGAAAGGCGUAGUCGAUGGGAAACAGGUAGAUAUUCCUGUACCACCGCUAUAUGAUGACGACGCAGUGACGCAGAAAGGUAGAGCGAGCGGCCAGUUGGUGAGCCGUUCAAGUGAGUAGGGUGUUUGGUAGGCAAAUCCGCCAAACGGAAGCCUGAGACACGAUGACGAGUGAAAAAUAGUAACGAAGUCCUUGAUCCUCCGCUGCCAAGAAAAGCUGCUAAGGAAUAUAGAGGUGCCCGUACCGCAAACCGACACAGGUAGACAGGUAGAGAAUACUAAGGCGCGCGAGAUAACUCUUGUUAAGGAACUCUGCAAAAUGAACCCGUAACUUCGGGAGAAGGGUUGCUGACCAUGGUGAGUAUGGACAAUACAGAGCUGAGGUCAGUCGCAGUGAAAAGGUCCAGGCGACUGUUUAGCAAAAACACAGGUCAUUGCAAAAUCGCAAGAUGAAGUAUAAUGGCUGACGCCUGCCCGGUGCUGGAAGGUUAAGGGGAAGAGUGCAAGCUUUGAACCGAAGCCCCAGUAAACGGCGGCCGUAACUAUAACGGUCCUAAGGUAGCGAAAUUCCUUGUCGGGUAAGUUCCGACCCGCACGAAAGGCGAAACGAUCUGGACGCUGUCUCAACAAGGGACUCGGUGAAAUUGAAAUUCCGGUAAAGAUGCCGGAUACCUGCGAUAGGACAGAAAGACCCCAUGGAGCUUUACUGUAGCCUGAUAUUGGGUUUC